GCUGCCGCAGACCCCCGCGAGGCCUGCCGGGCGGGCGGCGGCGUCCGGGGGCCGCCGAGGGCUGUGGCGCCGGGGCGGGCUCCGAGGGGACCCUGGUGCUGGGGGUCGUCCGUCCUCCCAGCCUGGCAGCUGGGGGUUCGUGUUUCCGCGCGUCCGCGGCGCCUAGGUGGCCUUUGCUCCUCCAGCCCCCAUUGAAGGACAUUUGUCUGUUGCAGUAGUUCUCAAAGUGUGGGCCAGGGACACCCUGGAGCUUCAGAGACCCUGUGAGUUGAACCCAGCCACCAUGCUGAGAGGAGCCUAGGCCACUUGAAGGGGUCUAAUGUCGGUGCUCCAGUCAACAGUCCCAGCUGAGCUCACAGCUGGCAGCCAGCGCCAGCCUUAAUCUUCACCCUGAGCCUUCAAAUGUCUCCAGCCCUGAUCGCGUUGACCUGAAACCACACAAGAGGCCCUAAGUGAAAAGAACCACCCAGCUACCCAGUCAACUUAUAGAACGCAACAAUCACUUGUACAGCGUGACUGAGUUUCUCUCUGUGAGAUCUGCAACCAGCCACCAGUGGUGUGGAGGAGGAGGUGACAGAUCCAAGUGUCAACUGCUGCUGCUGCUGCUGCUGAUCAACUGCUGAGAUGAUGAUGGGAGUUUAAGUUCACUGUGAUUUCCACACCGAGAAUUUGAAGAAGACCAACAAGGAGCUUGGUGGGCUGGGGCUCAAGGAAGACACAGCUCUGGUACUGUGUCAUUUAAGCCUGGAACGAUCCAAAUGGGAUUUGAGUCUACAAACUGAAUCAUGGCAAGGAGUGUCAAGUCUGAGGUAUGGAGGUGUGAUUCUGAAAACCAGCCUCAAGCAGGAUUUAUAUGAACUGUGUGUUUUACCCACUUGAGCAGCCAGGGCAAUAGUCUGAACUACUAAUGGAACAGGUACUGUGAACACGGCUAAAUAUAUUCAUGUUUGAAGAGGCAUGAGAGCUUGCACAAAGAAGACUAAUAUGGCAGCCUAGGCUCCACCUGUUACAAGGUCCCAUUUUCAGGGUUGGCCUGGCCCUUGGCUGACACCUGGCAACUUGGCUUUUAGAGUUUUGUGUGUAUCCCAACUGAUAAGCAUGUCUCACUGUGCCCAGAAUAUGCAAACGAUGUGAUUUACACUGAACACCUGCUUUCCUUCUGGGAGUCUGGAAUGUGGUAUGUUUUAGACAGAAGGUGCCUACUUGCCUGGCCUUCAGUGCAUUGUGUGACCCCCUCAGAAGAGGGAGAGAGAAGAGGGAGAGAUUGCAUCACAAUCUGUCCUCUUGUCCCUGCAAUCCUGCUUGCCAUCCACGUACGUACCAGAGCUGUGUCUUCCUUGAGCCCCAGCCUACUGAGCUCCUUAUUGGUCUUCUUCAAAUUCUCGGUGUGGAAAUCACAGUGAACUUAAACUCCCAUCAUCAUCUCAGUGCAUUGUGUGACCCCCUCAGAAGAGGGGAGAAGAGAAGAGAGAAAUCCUGUGCGUGGAUUUCCCCAGACUUCACCUUUCUCCUUAUGGUCCACCUGUGUGUCCUUGCUACAUCACUACAAUAAGCCUUAGCUGUGAGUAUGAGGAUAUGCUGAGUCUCAUGAAAUCGCCUGGAAAUCUCGGGAUGUGGGGAUGGUCUUGUGGCCCUCAACAGUUUCGCUGCCUAGUUGUAUCAAAAUUAUGUGUAGGAUUAUUUUGAUAUCUGUAUUCUAAAAUGGGGGAGGGGAGAAUGGAUUUCUGUUUCUCAUUAAAAGGAGCCUCUGGGUCACAUGUAAUAGAUGUGGCAUCUAGUGUUUUUGCCAAAAAAGGAAAAAAAAGCCACAAACUUAAAUAAAACUAACAAAGAGGAAAGCGAUAUGUGGAUAUACGAUUUUGAGAUUACUAUUUACAAAAUGUUAAAAAAAAAAAUAGGGGUGCCUGGCUGGCUCAGUCGGUGGGGCAUGUGCUCUUAAUCUCGGGUUGUAAAUUCAAGCCCACAUUGGGUGCAGAGAUUACUUAAAAAUCUUUAGGGGCGCCUGGGUGGCUCAGUUGGUUAAGCAUCUGACUUAGAUUCAGGUCAUGAUCUCACUGUUCAUGAAUUCAAGCCCCACAUCAGGCUCUGUGCUGACAGCUCAGAGCUUGGAGCCUGCUUCAGAUUCUGUGUCUCCCUCUCUUUCUGCCCCUACCCCGCUUGUGUUCAGUCUCUCUCUCUCAAAAAUAAACAUUAAAAAAAAAUUUUUUUUUAAUCUUUAAAAAACAAAACAACCAAAAUGUUAAGGAAAAAAUAGAAAGUGUCCUUGAACUAUCCAGAUAUCUAGGUAUCACCUCAGCCUGACCAAGUGGACUCUCUGAAGAUGGGCCCAGGAGCCACAAUUCUAAUAACUCCUCUCAGGUGGGUCUUAUGCAUGUUUUGAUCAGGAACCACUGACCUCUGAGUAUGAGAAUAAUUUGGGUGGAAAGGGCUCAGGUUCUUAUUUCAGAGAGCCCACUUCUUGGGUCCUAGGACUUGUGUGGGGUAGAAUACCUAUGAGAGCAAGGCUAAAGCACUGGCUGCAUAUGCAGGAGCUGCACCCUUCAAUCCCCAGUCCCUCCAUCUCCGUCUUCUAAUUCCCUCUGGGCUUAGUCUCCAGGCACACAUAACCACCACGUGUGGAGUCCCCACUAUGGCUUGAGGACACUGUGGCAUCGCACACAUCUUCUGUACCCGAGUCUCCAGUAGCGCCUUCAUUGAAUGAGGCUGCUCUCAUGACUUGCUGAAUGCAGAAAUCUCUCAGAUGUUUUAGCCAACAGGAAUUGUCAAACGAUGUUCACUCCACGGGGUCUGUUGGGCAGGUCCUUCCCCCCAGUCUCUGCCAUCUUCUGAGAGUUAUGCAAUAGCAGGACCAACUAUCCAAUCACAAGCAAAGUUCCCAUCUGUUCUGUCCAGGCUGCCUAGCCAAGGUGUUUUCCACCUCAACCUCAGGGUCUCAUAUGAACCACAGCAGCUAUAUUACUUGAAGUGUUUUGCGAUGGAAACCAGGUAACUGCCAGAGUGACCUUGGGGGAAGCACAUUCAGUACUUGGUUACACAAAUUCACACAACUGUCUUGCCACAUCUAGUUGUCCCAGGCUAUCAGGUCCCCACUCUGGGGCUGCCUUCUGACUUCCUGGUGAUAAGGCUGCUGGAAAAUCAAGUCUUGAAAGACUAAGCCAUUCCCCUUUAAUUCCAGGGACUUCUAAGAAGCCAAGGAGCCUUCCUUCUUCUGGAAUGAAAUCUAAUUUGCUAAACAGAAAAGUCUGACAUCUUUCUUUUUUGCUCUUGCUUUUUAAAUUGUCAAUCUACUAUGACAGCAACACUGAAUCAAAAGAAGGAAAAUUGUACCUAAUCCCACAAAUCAAUUGCAGAUGUCCUCAUGUACUGUGGUUUUUGCUCACCUAUAGUUACACAUUGUUAAUAAUUGUUACCCAAACAAAGAAUGUACCACCAGGGAAUGAAGUACUACAGAAGGUAUAAAAUGAAAUCCAGGUCUCCUGCCCUACCCUGCUCAACAGUCACAUUCCAUCAAUGCCUAUUAACCAUUUCUUUCUUUUUUUAACCAUUUCUAUUCCAGUUCUUCCUGAGGCCAUCUCUAUAAUUCUGAUCUUUUAUGGCCUAUAGACUUAACUGACUUCCUGCUCUGGUAAGCAGUGUAGAUUUAGCUCAGACUGUCGCUCCUCUAUUUGCAUCUAAUUUCUGUCAUAUUACCAUUUUGAGCCCUAAUUCUAGUCUCCUAAAUAACCUAUCGUAUUAUAUUUAAAAGUCCACUUCCUAAGAUGAGGAUACAGGGAUACUCUGUCUCCCCACUACAUCUCUUUCUCCUACUUUACAACAGCUGCAGACUGUACCAUCACUGUUAGUGCUGGCAACAGUGGUGCUCUACUCCUGCCGUUAUGAAAUCCUCACAUCACAGCUCUGGGUUUCUCUCUUUAAAAAAAGCAAAAAACAAAAAAAAAACCCAGUAUCUCCUGUUUAUAUCUAUGCAAAUACUGUUCAGUGAAAGACCAAUCAAAACAAUCUGAUUAUAUAUCUCUUCCUUUUAUUCCAAUAUCAUGAGUCUUCUGCCUCUUCUAAGAAGAAAUUUUAGCAUCAGGGUCAAAUGCAUGGAUCUUAUUCAUCAUAGAUUGUAGUUGGCAAGAUCUGAAGAUCUUUCAGCUUUCCUUCCCCUUCUCUUCCCUUCUCCCUUCCUUUUCCUUCCCUUCUUUCCUUCCUCUUUUCUUUCUUGUCCAAUAAUCUUACUUUUAAUUUCAUAGUCUAUUCUUGUUUUCAUAAUUCUCUUUUAAAAAGAGCAUCUUGGAUUUAUUUUUCACUUGCAGUUAUUUUUUGACCCACUCUUAGAAUAAAGCUUUUAAAUAUUUGGUUCCCUGAAUAUCUGUUCUCUUUGGGGUUGGUUUUUGUUUCAUUUUAGAUAUUUUUUAUUUUAUGUUGAAAGCUUUCAUCAUUUUUCACACCUUGGCUCCCACCCAUAGUGAAAAGACUAUCAAAGAAGAUGGGAAAUUCCAUAGUGUACAGCUCUGCCAGGGGACUGUGGCCUCUACUUCAGCCCUCUUCACAGGACCCUGGCUUCAGCCUUUCCCACUCUGCAUCUCCAGCUGAUGCCCUCACAUCUGCUUUCACCUUGCUCAAAUUUGCAGAAUGAAUUCUCUGAUGUGAAAGAAGGUGAGAGCUCCCAGCAAAGGCUUUCCCACACUGAUUACAUUCAAAAGGUUUCUCUCCAGUAUGAGUUCUCUGAUGCUCAAUAAGGCUACCCACAGAAAAAAAGACUCUUUCACCACUCCAUAGUCAAUGCCACCGACACCCCAGAAAAGCACUGUCGUCCUUGAAACAGUGUGGUUGGCCAGGCUGGGUUGCAACUGGGCUUCACUAACCAGCAACUUCUGAAGUUCAUUCUCCUCGGUGGAGGACAUUUCCGACUUGGACAAAGUCCUUAUCUAAGCUCAACACCCUCCACGAGCAAUGCUGUUCUCUUUCCCAAGACUCUGUUGUGUUCCCUUUUGAUGUUGCCUUGGAAUCCCUAAUGAUCAGAACUUUUUCAAAUGAAACAAUGAAGGGGAGUGAAAAGAGAGAGAGCACACAUGUGCAUGCAGCGUACACACCCGUGAACGGGGGAGGUACAAAGAGAGGGAGAGCCUAAGCAGGCUCCGUGCCCAGUGUGGACUGUGGGACCAUGACCUGAGCUGAAAUAAACAGCUGGACACUCAACCGACUGAGCCACCCAGGCGCCCCAUACAGCUUCACCCAUUGUAACAAAAGUACCACAGCAUAUAAAAUAUUAAUAACAGAGGAGACUGUGUGUGUGUGGUGGGGGAGGGAAGGGUGAAAUAUGGGAACUCUGUACUUUCUGCCCAACUUUCUGUAAACAUAAAACUGCUCUAAUAAAUAAAAUCUAUUAAUUAAAACAGAA